rnacentral:rRNA from 1 species
UACGAAGGGGGCUAGCGUUGCUCGGAAUCACUGGGCGUAAAGGGCGCGUAGGCGGCUGGACAAGUCAAAGGUGAAAUCCCUCGGCUCAACUGAGGAACUGCCUUUGAAACUGUCUGGCUUGAGGCCGGGAGGGGGUAGCGGAAUUCCCAGUGUAGCGGUGAAAUGCGUAGAUACUGGGAGGAACACCAGUGGCGAAGGCGGCUACCUGGACCGGUUCUGACGCUGAGGCGCGAAAGCGUGGGUAGCAAACAGG